rnacentral:rRNA from 1 species
UGAAUAGGAGAUGCUACGGCGUCGAAGCAGUCUAUGUCAUACUUCCAAGAAAAGCUCGCAAUGUCAGAAACAAAGAAUGCCUGUACCAUAACCGACACAGGUGGGUAGGUAGAGUAUACUAAGGGGCGCGAGAGAACUCUCUCUAAGGAACUCGGCAAAAUGACUCCGUAACUUCGGGAGAAGGAGUGCCUUAUUUUUAAGGUUGCAAUAGCAAGAUCCAAGCAACUGUUUAUCAAAAACACAGGUCUCCGCGAAGUCGUAGACGAUGUAUGGGGGCUGACGCCUGCCCAGUGCCAGAAGGUUAAAGAAGUUGGUUAGGAUAUCUUUGAUAAUCGAAGCUGAUAACUGAAGCCCUGGUGAACGGCGGCCGUAACAAUAACGGUCCUAAGGUAGCGAAAUUCCUUGUCGGGUAAGUUCCGACCCGCACGAAAGGCGUAAUGAUUUGGAUACUGUCUCGGAGAGGGGCUCGGUGAAAUAGACUUGUCUGUGAAGAUGCGGACUACCUGCACCUGGACAGAAAGACCCUAUGAAGCUUUACUGUAACUUGAGAUUGAAAUUGGACUUUAUUUGCGCAGUAUAGGUGGGAGGCGUUGAGAAUAUUCUUGCGGGAAUAUGGAGCCAUCAGUGAGAUACCACUCUUGUAAUGUUAGAUUUCUAACUUUGGAUCAUGAUCUGGUCUAAGGACAGUUUCAGGCGGGCAGUUUGACUGGGGCGGUCGCCUCCCAAAGGGUAACGGAGGCGUACAAAGGUUUCCUCUGAACGGGUAGAAAUCGUAUCUAGAGUGUAAAGGCAUAAGGAAGCUUGACUGUGAGACCUACAAGUCGAGCAGGGACGAAAGUCGGUCUUAGUGAUCUGACGGUGCUGAGUGGAAAGGCCGUCACUCAACGGAUAAAAGUUACUCUAGGAUAACAGGCUGAUCUCCCCCAAGAGUUCACAUCGACGGGGAGGUUUGGCACCUCGAUGUCGGCUCAUCGCAUCCUGGGGCGGUAGUACGUCCCAAGGGUUGGGCUGUUCGCCCAUGAAAGCGGUACGCGAGCUGGGUUCAGAACGUCGUGAGACAGUUCGGUCCAUAUCCGGUGUAGGCGUUAGAAUAUUGAGAGGAGCCUUCUUUAGUACGAGAGGACCGAGAAGGACAUACCUCUGGUGUACCAGUUAUCGUGCCAACGGUAAACGCUGGGUAGCUAUGUAUGGAGAGGAUAACCGCUGAAAGCAUCUAAGUGGGAAGCCCACCUCAAGAUAAGUA